GACGAACGCUGGCGGCGCGCCUAACACAUGCGAGUCGAACGAGCGAGCGAGAGCUUGCUUUCUCGAGCGAGUGGCGAACGGGUGAGUAACGCGUGAGGAACCUGCCUCAAAGAGGGGGACAACAGUUGGAAACGACUGCUAAUACCGCAUAAGCCCACGGCUCGGCAUCGAGCAGGGGGAAAAGGAGCAAUCCGCUUUGAGAUGGCCUCGCGUCCGAUUAGCUAGUUGGUGGGGUAACGGCCCACCAAGGCGACGAUCGGUAGCCGGACUGAGAGGUUGAACGGCCACAUUGGGACUGAGACACGGCCCAGACUCCUACGGGAGGCAGCAGUGGGGAAUAUUGCACAAUGGGGGAAACCCUGAUGCAGCGACGCCGCGUGGAGGAAGAAGGUCUUCGGAUUGUAAACUCCUGUUGUUGGGGAAGAUAAUGACGGUACCCAACAAGGAAGUGACGGCUAACUACGUG
rnacentral:rRNA from 1 species